rnacentral:rRNA from 1 species
GAUGAACGCUGGCGGCGUGCCUAAUACAUGCAAGUCGAGCGAGCAGACCAGGACCUGUGGCGCCUGAGUUCGUCAGCCGUCGGGACCUGAACAUGGGGAUGACCUACCUACCAGACUGGGGUAACAAUGCGGAACCGUGUCUAAGACCCAAUGAUAUAUUGCACCUGGAGGGGCAGGCGUUGGAUUAGAUAGUUGGUAGGGUAAUAGCCUACCAAGGCGACGAUUCAUAGCUGGUCUGAGAGGAUGAUCAGCAACACUGGGACUGAGACACGGCCCAGACUCCUACGGGAGGCAGCAGUGGGGAAUAUUGGACAAUGGGCGAAAGCCUGAUCCAGCAAUGCCGCGUGAGUGAUGAAGGCCUUAGGGUUGUAAAGCUCUUUUACCCGGGAUGAUAAUGACAGUACCGGGAGAAUAAGCUCCGGCUAACUCCGUG